rnacentral:rRNA from 1 species
UACGUAGGUGGCAAGCGUUUGUCCGGAAUUAUUGGGCGUAAAGCGCGCGCAGGCGGUCUUUUAAGUCUGAUGUGAAAGCCCACGGCUCAACCGUGGAGGGUCAUUGGAAACUGGGAGACUUGAGUGCAGAAGAGAAGAGUGGAAUUCCACGUGUAGCGGUGAAAUGCGUAGAGAUGUGGAGGAACACCAGUGGCGAAGGCGACUCUUUGGUCUGUAACUGACGCUGAGGCGCGAAAGCGUGGGGAGCAAACAGG